AAGCGCAUCGCUGCAUUUAAGGAGAGACGUUUCUCGUGUCACGCAAGAGUGUGCUCCACCAACAGCCAGCCAUCCUUAUCCUCCUCGUGGAACUCCUUUGGCCGCACACAAGUUCACAUACUCUCCCUCUCCUGAUAAAAUAGCCAUGGAAUAGCAGUGCCUCGCCGAAGAUGUUCAGGAGCGUUGUGCCGGAGAUGCACGCGAGGAGAGGCCGGCACCGACUAUGCAUCGGAGAGGGCGCCGCCAACAAGCGCUAAGAGGCGGCGUCCAUGGGGUAGAGUCGGAAGGGCGCGGCGCGCGAGAAGAGGCGGCGAUGGGCUACCGCCGGGAGGCCGCGGCGCGCGAGAAUCCCUGGUCGGACGAGCGCGGCCUCUGCCUCAUCCUCCCCCUCCUCAACUGCGCCAUCGCUGCCGCCGUCGGGCACCUGCUCGAGCCCAUCGCGUAGCUUGCGUUCCCCGCCAGCGAACUGAGGGCUUUGUGACAGAUUUUUCCUCUACUUGUUUAUCUCGAUCUGUCACACUCUUAAAUUUUUGGAAUGACACUAGAGGGUUCCCUUUUUGAUGCUAAGCAUUAGGAGUUUAUGACAAGAAGAUGACUGAGUCGAUGUAAGUUUUUCUCUACCAAUACUUUUAGCUUAGCCUUUAGAGGCUCUCUGAAGCUCUAUGUCUUGCUCUGUAUAUUUAAUUUUGUGUACUAUGAAUGAAUAAGUGUAUAAGAGUUUUGAUGAAACGAGCUCCAACUUGAAGUGAGCCUCCAUAGAGGCAUCAACACUUAUCACAUGAGACUUCUGAGAGCAUUACCUAUUCCUUUAUAUUACUUAAUAAUUUUUUAUCACGUGUAUCUUAGAAAUACCAAUACUUGUAUCAACCAAUUGUUUGUUGGAGGAGAAUUUUCAAUGGAGUUCGCAAACAAGCUCUGCAGUGAAAAUGAUGAAGUUCCGAAAGCUAAGGAAGAGAAGCAUGCUUCCCCAGAAGGAUCUCUCAUAAUCCGCAGCUGUAUAGACGAUAUUUUAAUGUAUUAUGUGUUUACCCAAAAAGUGUUUGAAGCUGUUUGUUCAGCAAGUUAUUUUUAGCUUUUUGUGACGUAAAUUGUAUUCAGCAUUUUCCAGUAAGGACAUGAGUUGCCGUUUCUCCUUUGUCAAUUAACCAUAGUUAGCAUCUCAAAUCCCAUUAGAAAAUUUAAUGCUUUCAAAGGGUGCAAUUUUAGAGUAUGUAGCUGUUUGGGGGAGCAGUUUCCUAGCUUGAGGAGCAGCAAACACACCAUCUUAGUCUCCCUCUCUCUAUAUAUAGUUUUUCUCUUACGCUAGAAAAUGAUCUAGGCCAUGGACUAAGGAAAAAGGGGUCCAAUCUUUUGUACUAUGAGGUAAAUUCUUUCUUUUAAGUUGGCAUACGAUAUGUAUUGUGUCUGAUGUUAGAAAUUUCUUUUGUGUUCAUAAGGAUAAGCUUGCUUAUUUUUUCAGAAAACUGGUAUUUUUGCGAAACAAUAAAAUACAAGAUGACAUCAAAUCAACAAGGAGCCUACUCCUAAAGCAUGUCAACUUACAAGUGCACUCCUUCCGAACUGGAGUACGAUGCCCUUCGAGCAGGCAACUGACUUGGCAAGGCAGUCAAGCAUAUUGAAAAGGCCGUUGAGCUCAGUCUUUCGGACAGAGUGAACAACCUAGAUGUGCGUGCAAGCAGUGGAAGGAACUCAAAUCUGGCCAUAGCAUUCGAGGAGGUACUAUCUUUUUUUAGAGGAACACUCUUGCAUUCUAUUACCUUGACAUCCUGGAUAAUAACUAGCACACAAGUUUAACAACCGGCCCAAGAUGGUGAAACCAAACACAUCGCUUACCAUCCCCUAAUAGAGCACCUCGUACAACAAUUUUGUGAGCUAUAUUGUUACAUAACAAGAUCUUGGACACACCUUUAACUAUUGCUUGUCAAAAGCAACACUCAGAUUAGCUUUGAUUUCUCUAAAGAGGACACCAUUACUCACUCUUUGGAGGAAUAUCCAGGACAACAUUAUUGCAUCGCAUUGCCGCCAAACAGUGUGGAGCAUUCAGAAGGGCUUUAGCUCCAACUAUGUACUGUUGUAGUCUUUACUCUUCAUCUCUUUUCCUGAAGUGCCAUAAAAAUGUUGCAUGUUUGGACAAGGAAAAAACUAGAGGUGGUUCUCUCUUUCACUUAAUAGCAAAGCCGCUCCAAGACGCCCCAAAGUCUCAACUGGAUAAUGUAAACUAUCCCGCCAUUCCGAGCAAUAUCGUGGUAUUCUUGGUUUUGAACAUUUUUGUAUAUACAUGAUGCAUCAGUGUGGUCCAUUUGAAUUGGCGGUUGUCAAGUUAGAGUAUUUACCAAUUAGAACUACAUAUGAUUAUUUUAUCAUCACUUAUAUAGCAGUUUCGGAAAUUUA